rnacentral:lncRNA from 1 species
AGAACACAAACCCUAAAUCUGAUUCAAAGAAAAACAGAAAAGGGGAGAAGACAGAAAUUCAAAACCUUAAAUCAUCAUAAUAUAAGUAACGACAAAUUAAAAAGAGAACAACACAAAAUAUGGAAAAAUCAUUGCCAAAAAAAAAGUUUCAAUAGAGAGAGAACAAAAAACCUCGUUGCAUGAGACUAUCGACAAAACGACAUAAUCUAUCGAAAGAAGUUGCGUCUUCAUUCAAGAAGUUGUUACAUCGAAGCGGAGAACGUCGUGUGAAUAGAAGAGUGAGGUCCAUCGAUUGGGAAGAAUGGUUGUGGUGAACGCGAGUUUGGGUUUGAGAGAGAGAGAGAGAGGGAGAGAGAGGGAGAGAGAGAGAUAGAGAGAGUGAAGUGUUUAAUGUGUAAAAAAUGUAGGUGAUUAAGGGCCUGUUUGAGAAAGAAGUGG